ACGCAGCUCUCCUUCACUCCCUCACGCAGCUCUCCCUCACUCCCUCACUCCGACUGGCAGCUCUCCCUCACUCCGUCGCCCAUCUCCAGUCACCCAUCUCCAGUCACGCACAGCUCUCCCUCACUCCCUCACGCAGCAUGCAGCACGCAGCUCUCCCUCACUCCCUCACUCCGCAGCUCAUCUCCAGGAACAUUUGGAUGAUAAGCAUCUGAGUCGAUUCUUGGAAGCUGAUACCCUUGUCAAUCUCAACGAAUCCACUUAACGGACCACCUCACUAAUAUAAUAAAGAUCCUAAAAUGGAGAUGGAAGACACAAACAAAUCUGGUUCUUCCUCGCCAAGUGGUUCU